GACUACCGGGGUAUCUAAUCCUGUUUGCUCCCCACGCUUUCGAGCCUCAGCGUCAGUGUCAGUCCAGAAAGCCGCCUUCGCCACCGAUGUUCCUCCUAAUAUCUAUGCAUUUCACCGCUACACUAGGAAUUCCGCUUUCCUCUCCUGUACUCUAGUCAACCAGUAUUGGAUGCACCCCCCAAGUUAAGCCCGGGUAUUUCACAUCCAACUUAAUCGACCGCCUACGCUCCCUUUACGCCCAGUAAUUCCGGACAACGCUCGCCCCCUACGUAUUACCGCGGCUGCUGGCACGUAGUUAGCCGGGGCUUCCUCACAGAUUACCGUCAUUUGUUUCGUCAUCUGCGACAGAGGUUUACAAUCCGAAAACCUUCUUCCCUCACGCGGCGUUGCUGGGUCAGGCUUGCGCCCAUUGCCCAAUAUUCCCCACUGCAGCCCCCCGUAGG
rnacentral:rRNA from 1 species